AUACUUGGGGUAAUCAAAAUAAAUCUGCCUGUUCUAACAUGUUAAUGGAAAUAAAUCUACUUGUUCUAACAUGUUAGUGGAAAUAAAAGAAGCCGGGCAGAGAAAUUAUUUUCUGCUCAAGAUUCUACAUUCUUGAUAUUAUUAAAACAAAAGAAAAAUGAUAAAUUUGGCUGCUGUAAAAUGUAAAAUGUUUCUUUGGGUUGAUUAUCCAGCAGCGAAUGUUUUAGAUUAUGCUUUUCCUUAAUUAACAAAGAAAAAUUUAGUUUGAUCACAGAACUAGUUCCUGAAUUUUGACCCUGGUUUCAAUUGUAGUGUCAGAACUGCUCUUGUAACAAUAUGGGAAACGGACUUUGGUUAGUACAAAACAUUACUUCCUUCCAUCAGCCCGUCUUCAUUGAUUUUGCUAGGGUCAAACAUCAGGGCCAUACGAUAGGGUAGAAUACGAUUGUACAUACAUAGCCUUUAAAGUUAGAUACAUGGGAAAGAUUCAGUGGCUACUGGAGAUUACUUCCAGGUGAAUACUUUCAUACACUGCCAGUGAAGAUUGCAGAGUCUCCACUGUCGCAGUUUAUUAUUGGUUUUGGCCGAAUGGACCUCUUUUCUUCAUUCAGCUGCUGGCAACGCGGUCAGUGGUUGCAACUUUUGACUUUUAGAGAAUCGAUAUAUAUAUACAUGUAUAUUUAGAUGUAAUCGGUGAAGGCAUAUAUUCCUAACAUUAAAGAUGGCGUAAACAGUAGGUUCUCUUAGGAAUAUAUAUUCUACAACAGUUGCUCUCUUAGAACAGUAAAAGCUAAAAUUCAUUGAGAAUCGUGAAGGAGGCAUGGCUGGCGGAUUUUUCACAACGUAUGUGGUUAACCCCUGAUGUUUUAUUGGCUAAUAUGACCUAAACCAAUGUGACAUUCUUCUCAUGAUGCUGAUCAUCACGCUUGGACCUCGUUUGGAUAUAUAGAUAUUAUAGAUAUUUUAUUCGAGCUUUUUUCAAAUUUAUGCAAGAAAUAUGUGAUUGAAGCAUGAUUAAAUUAUUAAAGUAAAUAUACAACUCAGUUUUAAGUUAUGUUUUUAAAA